CAGCCGCCGCGGGAAUACGUAGGGUGCAAGCGUUGUCCGGAAUUAUUGGGCGUAAAGAGCUCGUAGGCGGUUUGUCGCGUCUGCUGUGUAAACGCGAGGCUCAACCUCGCGCCUGCAGUGGGUACGGGCAGACUAGAGUGUGGUAGGGGAGAUUGGAAUUCCUGGUGUAGCGGUGGAAUGCGCAGAUAUCAGGAGGAACACCGAUGGCGAAGGCAGAUCUCUGGGCCAUUACUGACGCGGAGGAGCGAAAGCGUGGGGAGCGAACAGGAUUAGAUACCCCGGUAGUCCCUGUCUCUUAUAC
rnacentral:rRNA from 1 species